GAUGAACGCUGGCGGCGUGCCUAAUACAUGCAAGUCGAGCGAAGCGGGGACGGGUGAGUAACACGUGGGGAACCUCCUAUAAGACUGGGUUAACUUCGGGAAACCGGGCCUAUACCGGAUAGUUAUAGAUUGAUCCUCGCUGCAUUAGCUAGUAGGUAAGGUAACGGCUUACCAAGGCAACGAUGCAUAGCCGGCCUGAGAGGGUGAUCGGCCACACUGGGACUGAGACACGGCCCAGACUCCUACGGGAGGCAGCAGUAGGGAAUCUUCCGCAAUGGGCGAAAGCCUGACGGAGCAAUGCCGCGUGAGUGAAGAAGGCCUUCGGAUCGUAAAACUCUGUUAUUAGGGAAGCGGUACCUAAUCAGAAAGCCACGGCUAACUACGUGCCAGCAGCCGCGGUAAUUC
rnacentral:rRNA from 1 species